AACGAACGCUGGCGGCAGGCCUAACACAUGCAAGUCGAACGAAGCCUUCGGGUUUAGUGGCGGACGGGUGAGUAACGCGUGGGAACGUGCCCUUUGGUUCGGAAUAGCCCCGGGAAACUGGGAGUAAUACCGAAUAAGCUCUACGGAGGAAAGAUUUAUCGCCAAAGGAUCGGCCCGCGUUGGAUUAGGUAGUUGGUGGGGUAAUGGCCUACCAAGCCGACGAUCCAUAGCUGGUUUGAGAGGAUGAUCAGCCACACUGGGACUGAGACACGGCCCAGACUCCUACGGGAGGCAGCAGUGGGGAAUCUUAGACAAUGGGGGAAACCCUGAUCUAGCCAUGCCGCGUGAUCGAUGAAGGCCUUAGGGUUGUAAAGAUCUUUCAGUGGGGAAGAUAAUGACUGUAUCCACAGAAGAAGCCCCGGCUAACUCCGUGCCAGCCGCCGCGGUAACAC
rnacentral:rRNA from 1 species